UAACCUCAACAAAUCUUCAUCGCGGGCCAAUCAAGCGCACUUAUCCAAACUAUCCAAGUUUUUCUUGUAUCUGGUUAUGCUAAUUACACCGUACACGAUUAUUAUCGAGACGCGUUCGCGUGCCACGUUAAACAGCGCUGUGUCCCAUAAAUAAUAACUUCAUCUCGCAGAAAUGGCGCGCGUACGAGACGAGCUCUGUGAUUCUCUCUGCGCGCCCUCUAUAAUUCUCGACCGCGUGGGAAUUUGAGUUUUCCCUCGAUCCUUCUUUCCCUUCUCUUCUACUGGAAAGAACUAUGUCACGGGAGGAGGCCACGUUUGAACAGCCACAAAUUCAACCGAUCACCGUGGCGGGUACAACAUUCCAUCGGGGCAAAAACGCGUAAAUUACGCGACGAACAGGGCGUCAUUAUUGGAACGAGCAGGCCUGGCGCACACUGCGCAGGACGGUCUCCCCCCUUGCCUCUGUCCCACCGCUACACUCUCAUAAGUACAUAAAUUAGCCGUACGGCAGCCCGAGCAAAAAGCUACACGACGGAAGAGGUAACGGGCGACGUCUGAACGCGACACGCGAGUGAAUCGCGGCCUGCACGUGGGAGAGCAGAAGCAAAUAAAGUAACGAAUAAAGAAUAGAGUCUACUACUGUGUGCCAGUUGGACAAGCCGUGCAGCAUCAUUAGCCGCGACGUCCAGCUUCUGAUUUCCUUCGUUCGCCUACCCAUGCCAAGGCGAAACCGAACCGACGAGACGCGCAGCCGACAUUUUGUAUGUUAACGCGGGAUUUGCUCGAAAAGAGGGCAACGUGCAGCAUCAUUAGCCAGGACGUCGAGGACUCGCGAUUUCCGUCUGCUCGUUUGUGGGACGAGACGCUCACGAAGGUAGGGAGGGAGGGGGGAGGGGGGGCUGGCCGCCCUUAUCUGGCAAGGGGGGGGGCCUCCUGAGUGAAUGGUACCCGGUACUUUGUUCUCGGUUCCUGGUACAACCGGUGCUCCUCUCCUCGACAGAUAUUCGAACAUUCGGGUUCGAUGAACCCUGGGUUCGAGGGGGCCUCCCCCUCCCCCUCCCCCCUUUUUCCGCGUGGACAUUGGAGCGGUGGCCAGGGCAGCGCCCAUCUGCGAAACGACCGACACCGCCGUUAUCCAUCUGCCUUCGGGAUUCCGCGAUUCGUUAACAUUCUUGCCGAAUCCGACAAGAGGGGGACCGAUGCCGAGAGGAUCGUCGAAGAAGUUGAAGAUCGUUCCGAUCAGAUUCGAUGAAGUUGGGCGCGCGGUUUUUUGCGAGCUCCUUUGCGAAGAUUCCC